ACCUCCUCAGGACAGACCUGCAGUACACCCAGAAUUCUGUGAGGUCUCAUCAGACCUGAAUUUUCCUCAUUGCCAUCUGAUCAAGAUCCAACAGGUUCUGGGUAUAAAGGCUCAUCACAUCAGCUUACUGGAUCCACAACCACAUUUAUCUAAAAUAAGAUACUUUCUCGUUCUAGACUGAGUUGAAGGGGAUCUCUCCAUACCAGGCCAUGAGGGUGAGCCGGGUGUUACAGCUGUCCAUCUGCCUGGUGGGCCUCAGCCUGGCAUGGUGCUCUCCACCACCAGGCAAACCCUCCAUAGAGGGGGGUGGCCAGGUUCCUGUGGGCCAGAUACAGGUGCUCUCUGUGGGGCUGCUCCAACUGCUCCAGGGGGUGCGGGAGAGUGCCUGGAGGAUGGAGAGGCAGGGCGACCAAGUGUCAGAGGAGCUGAUGGGAGACACCCAGGUUGUGGAGAGGCUACGAGAGCAAGGUGUGCAGGUAGGAAGGACCCACAGGCAGGUGACGAAGAACCUCCAGAUGAUGACAGCACAGAGCGACAGGCUGGAGAAUGCAGCUCAGGACAUGCAGCUGGGACUGGAGACUUUAUUGGCCGAGCAAGGUGCCUUGGAGCUCAGGAUGUGCCGUGUCCUGGAGAGGGUGCAGAGCAUAACCAAGCCAGUUCUAAGGAUGGAAAAGCAGCUUAAUAUGAACCUGAUGAAGGUGAUAGUGGACACUCAGUCCAGACGUCUGGCUGACCUAGCCUUGGAAGUUAUGACCAGAGACAGAUUGAUUGAUAAGCAUCUGCAGCACAUUGUUGACCUGGAGGAACAGGCGUCUCGUAUCAGAGGGGAGAGGCCUCCCACCAGCGCUGAGGGCAGGUUCUGAUGAUGGCUCUGGCCCUUGUCUGGGCAACAACCACAGCUGCAUCAAUAUAAACACUCCAUUCAAAACUAUAAGAAAACAACAUAGUUAUAGUGGAAAUCUGAGAAAGAAAGACACAUAGCAUUAUUCAUACCAUAUUCAAGCUUCAUUUCUUCAUCCAGAUACUAUGAGAUGAUCUGAUUGGAAUUUUAAAAGGUAGACAUCCUUGUUGGGUAAUCUCCAAAGUGGUGUGGCUCUGUGUUAAUGUUUGAGGUUCAUAUUUGGAAGCUUUGUAUUUGCAAUCCCUUGUCAGCUGGUGCCUCUAGGGCAAUUCAGGCAGAUGUUAGAGGGCCCUUUUACUGAAGCAUGUGUUUGUUUCAUACAAUUGUGUUUUGCUUUUGUUGUUUUCUUUUCUUUUCAUGCAUUGUGUAAUUGAUGUGUAUAGAUAUCCAUACUAGUGUAAGGGUUGUUUAUUGAUGUGUUCAUGCAGGGCUCAUCUACAAAAGAGACCUUGGUCUCAGCAUGACUCAAUGCUUAAAACUGCAAUAUGUAACUUUUUGGGAAACUCCACCAAAUUGACAUAGACAUUUGUGUUAUAGAUCUGUCAUUCGCAUUGAAAGCAAGUCUAAGAAGUGGUAGAUCUGUUCUAUGUGCACUAUUUCUAUGCUACCCAUGCUUAAGUUUUGUUUUUGCAUCUUUUACUUUAGCUUUUGUACACCAACUUCAAACAAGAUGAAAAUACAAUAUUUUGGGUUAUGGACAAUAUAUUUUACAGUGGUUUAGAUGGUACAAUGAUUCGCUACACUAUAUUGCUUGUUUUGCCACAUAAACUGAAAUUAGGCAAACUAUUAGAAUUUUAGCAACCAGUAUAUUUCUGCAUAGUGCAUCUUUAAAUAAAGGCUAACCCUUUUUAAAUAAAUGCAACCACAAUCAAAUAAACAGAUUCAAGGUAAUGGACUGGAUCAGACUGCCUGGAAAAAAAAUAUUCCUGUCAACUUUGGCUGAUUGGCUAAUUCUCCUUGAACGUAAAAAAAAAUAAAAAUAAAAAAUAAAAAAGGCUCUGUGGCUGUAUUCUAGAGGUACAGGAGACCUCCUACCGCCAAAAUCAGGAGAUUCUCAUCUUCUCAGCUGUCUGACAACCAAAUGUGGCAAAGGUUGUGUGUGAAAGCUUUGAGGACUAAGGUCCUAUCUGAUGGCCUCAAGUCUGUGAGAUCUAAAUGCAUGAAUGCUGUCCGACUGGUGUUCCCCAAAAAAAACAGCCAGAGCAACAAACUCUGACCCAACAUGCCAAAGAGAAUAUACAGUAAUGUUCCUGUAAAUCUAUUUGAAAUGUGCCUACAGUUCUUCAUUUGACUUGGACAUUUUAGCCAUUUAGCAGACGCUCUUAUCCAGAGCAACCUACAGGAGCAAUUAGGGUUAGGUACUUUGCUCAAGGCCACAUCGACUGAUUUGUUUCACCUAGUUGGCUCAGGGAUUCGAACCAUCAUCUUUUCUGCACAACACUCUUACCCGCUAGCUACCAGACACCCCACUGACAUACUCCAACAGGUCUUUACUCUUGAAUUAAUUUACAUUUCAUUUCAGCCAACCUAUGUUACCAGACAUGCCUAUUGAAGAUGGAAGAUCAAAGCCAAUUGAGUGUGCAAUUUCAUUGUCACACACAAUAUGUUCAGUUUCAGGUAUGAUCUUUGUCAUAUUGUGUAGAGUAUGAUGAUGAGCUUCAGAGUAUAGUAGCUCUAGGCUAUCAUGAUUCUGAACUACACUGAACAAAAUAUAAAUGCAACAUGUAAAGUGUAUGUUUCAACAUGCAACACGUUGAAAUAAAAGAUCCCCGAAUAUUUCCGUAUGCAC
ensembl:lncRNA